AUUGAUUUGCUCAGAAAUCAUGAAAAGUAUUCUUGAUAUGGUGUUUGAUAUUGUGGAGAAUAGAGAUAUGAUACCUGCAGAAGUUACUUUGGCGAAAAGUUAAAAUGUAUUACAGGAAAUUAGUAGCAAUGAAAAAGGAAUGAAUAUUAUAUCCAACGUUAUUAUCAACCAGGUAAAUAAUGAAAACUUGAACAGUUUGUGAGGCCAACACCUUCAUUGGCCAAAGCAAGAUGUCCCUUCCAGAAAACGAACUUCACGUGACCAAAUGCCUUCUGCAAUAACUUCUGAACAAUGGGUAGCGUAUCAUAAUGAGCAGGAAAGGAAGAAGUCUGAAAAGGAAAAUGCAAUAAAAAGUCGCAAAUUGGAAAAGACUUUGAAGAUGUCGGCCAUCAACAAAUCGAAAGUAACUAAGAAGAAAACGAAAAGUAAAGAAGUUUUUUCAGAAACUGUGCCCACAGACCAAAAGAGUAGUACGGAAAGUCAAGGCAAUGCACCAAACGAGAAACAUUCUCCAGAAUGUAUUUCAAAACCAAUGAAAAUACUAAACAGAAAAAAGAAAUUUGAAAAACGGCAAAAUAAAAACACAAAAAAACGACGUCGAGAAUCGAUACGAAAAGAAAUUAUUUCUAAAGACAAACAACGUGUGACUGUCGAAACAGAUAUUGGUAAUACCAAGUAGAAUAUUCGUGUUGAAAUACUCAAUUAGAUGUAUUUCAUUCGUUUCAGGUUUCUCGCUUGGAGAUUACGUUUUGGUUCUUUAUCGUGGUAAAAAAUACCCAAGAGGAUGCCGACAAAGAGAAUAAAGAGUACGAAAUUAAUGUUAUGGAGAAAAAAAAUUAAAAAGGUUGGAUAUGGCCUACUAAAAUUGAGCAAGCCUGGUACAAGGAGGAACAGGUUUUGAAAAAAAUACCUGAACCAAAAUAUGAUGAAAAUUCAGAGGUCUAUAUGGUAGUACUAACCUAAAUAGCGACCAGUAACGGUUUAUAACUUGUUGACGUUGAUAAUAAAUUACAGUUCAUUGA